rnacentral:rRNA from 1 species
GUGCCAGCAGCCGCGGUAAUACAGAGGGUGCGAGCGUUGUCCGGAAUCACUGGGCGUAAAGGGCGCGUAGGUGGCUUGGUAAGCGUGCGGUGAAAGCUCGAGGCUCAACCUCGAGUCUGCCGUGCGAACUGCCGAGCUGGAGCACGGUAGAGGCACAUGGAAUUCCGGGUGUAGCGGUGGAAUGCGUAGAGAUCCGGAAGAACACCGGUGGCGAAGGCGGUGUGCUGGGCCGUAGCUGACACUGAGGCGCGACAGCGUGGGGAGCAAACAGGAUUAGAUACCCCCGUAGUCC